CCUACGGGCGGCAGCAGUGGGGAAUAUUGGGCAAUGGGCGAAAGCCUGACCCAGCAACGCCGCGUGAAGGAAGAAGGCUCUCGGGUUAUUAACUUCUUUUAUCGGGGAGCAAAGCGAGUCACGUGUGACUCAUUGAGAGUACCCGAGGAAAAAGCAUCGGCUAACUCCGUGCCAGCAGCCGCGGUAAUACGGAGGAUGCGGGCGUUAUCCGGGUUUAUUGGGUUUAAAGGGUGCGCAGGCGGGGGUGCAAGUCAGCGGUCAAAUUGCGGGGCUCAACCCCGUACUGCCGUUGAAACUGCAUCCCUUGAGUGCGCGAGAAGUAUGCGGAAUGCGUGGUGUAGCGGUGAAAUGCAUAGAUAUCACGCAGAACUCCGAUUGCGAAGGCAGCAUACCGGCGCGCAACUGACGCUCAGGCACGAAAGCGUGGGUAUCGAACAGGAUUAGAUACCCCAGUAGUC
rnacentral:rRNA from 1 species